UUUUUCUCUUUCUUUUUAGCCGGUCGAACGACCACGACAGGCUCCUAUCAUCAUUAGCUAGAUAGACAUCAAGCUAAUAACUCAUGCAACUGAGUCAUUAUAAACUAAACACGACAUUGGACCUAUACUUUGCAGUAAUUUUCCACAUAAUAAGCCCUAAACAAUUAUGUUUCGAUACGAGGCUUCGUUGACUCAUCGAUACUGAAAUAAUCUUAACUUUCCACUAAAAAAAGUAGUGUUGUCCUCUCAUAGAAUGAAAAUGAAGGCAUUUGCGAAGAGGGAUAAAUUAAUAAGGCAGCGGAAAUUUCCCAAGUGUAUAUUUGAAGAUAUCAGGAACUGAGCCAAACAUCCUGAACAUCAAAAAGCAUGUAUAAUGAGGAGGUUUCCGUAAAAUGUAGUUAAUAUAUAUGUUGAAAUAAAAAUGAAUAAAAUUAUAACAGGCCUAUACAUAUAUUGGAAUGAAAAACGAGGGGCGGGGGAACUUUCACAAACAACUAUAUAACAAUUAUUACAAGACAGUCCCAGCUUUAUAUAUGUAUAAAUUUCACAAUUAAAAAAUAUUAACAAUAGUACUGAAUAUGAUAGUUAUCCUGGUUCUUUUAAACAGUAAAUGGUAUUCUCUCAGAAACCAUCUACAAGUGGAUAUACAGGGAACUUUACAGAAAACCUAUUUUAAUUUUAUUCCAAGGCAGGUUGACCGAGGUUAUUAUUCAACUGAGCACAUUGAAAUUUAGAUCAGGACGUAAACAUUGAAGUAAAAACAACGGAUUACUAAUGUAUACCCUUUCCAAAAGCACAAUAUGUAGUUUGUAUUUAGAACUCGUCAUUUUUAGACUUUAUAACUUAUAGAAAGUGUUUAUCUAAAAUGAUACAAAAAAAUUAUAAACAAAUGCACCAGGAGUGGGUGUCGAAAUUUAUGUUAAUAGAAUGUUACAGUAAACUUUAAACAACGUUCUCGACCAACACACACACACGUAAUUCUUUGGUUUUACAUUUACUCUUGGUAAUUGAGAAAUACAUAUUGAUUUUCUAUUAAUGAAUAAAGUUGGUGUUGAUGCCUGGCCAUCAAAGUAUAAAAAUAUUCUAGUUAAAAUGAAAGUAAAAGAGAUAAUUUUAAAACAUCUUACAAUGAAAGAAAGCACUUCGUUCUUCGGACGUUGAAAACCAUUUGCCGUUUUGGGUUUAGGGUACGAUUUUUAAUGACCUGGGAUUAUCAAAGAUGUAUUAAUUAGGCGAGGACACGAAUGACAUUGCAGUUAAGUCUGAUAUAUUUAUACAUAUAUUGUAAUGUAUAUUUCAGUGUAGGUGUGAGAAUAAUUGCCUAUUUCUGGAGUUUAACAGAGGGAAUAGGCACUCACAUGCAUUGUAUAUCAUCAGGUUGUGUCGUAAUUUCUCGAAUAAUAAAUAGUUAGAUGUGACGGUCAAGGAGGACAUGAAUGACAAUGGAAAAUAAAAGUGUUCAGGUGAGACUGUUGACUGAGACAAGUUGGUACGAUUAGGAAAAAUCACACAUUUACGGGCUUUUCCCCACUACACACGUAACAAUAAAACAGAAAGGCCAGGAUGACAGCAUUGGUUUCCAAAUAUGAGGCACGGAUAAGGAGAACCAGAUAUUGACAAAAAUUAAUAUGGUUAUUGGACCUGACUGAUGUAGGGGUAGCUAGCACUAAUUUAUCAGUUGUGAUACAAUAAUUGGAGAUUGAAAGAAGAAAACAAGAGACAUGUGAAUGACAUUGAGAAGUAAGAAAACAACAAAGUGACGCCAAAGAAAGUCUAUACACAACAGAUGAUAAAUAUAUUGAUUUAUAAGUGAGAUGGUUAAUAAUGCCUGCCGGACUUCACUGUAUUGUAAAUAGAUAUAGGUUUUAAGAGGGUUUACAUAUUAACAAAGACAACACAUUGAUGAGACUUAUUGGUUGUUACACACUAUUUUAAAAUGAUAAAUUUCGUUUAUCUUUGUGGAAACAAAACAAAUCUUUGAGUUGGAAAAGUCGCUCGUAAAUAAUAAAGAGACAGAGAGAAAGAGAAAGGAAGAAUAAACCGUGUGUCUGUCUGUGUGUGUGAAUGUGUGUGCGUCAGAGAGAAAGAAAGAGAGAAACAUAGAAAUAGUGUCUGUGUGUGCGUCGAACACGAGAUGAGAAGCUGGGAUGAACAUCUCAAUCCCUUUUUUUCAUACGAAACAAGUCGAUAAAAUAGGUAAAUGAAUAGAAAGGUUGUCUGCUCAACAAUCUUACCUACGGCUGACCGCUGUUAUUUCCUCUUCUAUUCGUAAAAUCCCAUCCUAUGGGGUAAUAACAUAUCCAUAGUGAGUAGAACCCAGCAGUAUAUCUACUCAUGCUACGCUUCGUUUAAUUGUAAACUCGCUGCCUUGACAGGUGCUCAUACAAAACCCGAAAUGGUUGCUAAAAGAUCGAUAAUUCAUCAUCACAUCACACUUCUGCUAAAUACUUGUUGCAUGAGCUUUAUUUGUUUAUUUCUUGGUCUUUGUUGUUGGGUUUUUUUUUGUCUCUUGUUCAAGUGUUACCGAUUACGAGCGAAAUAGAAAUCUUGUCAACUCAUCAGAUAUAUAAUUGUGUUUUAAAUAUAUAAUCUUAAUAAUAGACUUGCUUUGUUUUCACAUGCGAAGAAUAACUUUUAAAAGUUUAUAAAUCAAGUAUUGUUUACAUGUAUAUAAAUAAACAAUAUUUCUUGCAACUUUUUUUUUUUCCUUCCGAUAGUUAUUAGUGUGACGGGAAGGGAGACGGACUGGUUUCGUUCCGUCUUUAUCAAAGUUUUUAUAUAGUCUAAUGUUGCAAUUAUAUAAACCGGAUGUAUAUCCCGAGUAUAUAAAGCGUGUGAGUACGUGUUUCGGUCAUUUUUUGCGGAGCAGUUUGUUGGCUGUUGCUGAGGUAUGUGCUUUAUAAGUCAAUCAGCAAGACCGGGGGUAAUCGUAGCGUAUAUUAAGAUAUAUACAGCUUAAGCAUGUUGAGGACAAUCCGUAGUUUAAGACUUAGCCAUUUUAGUAAUCGAACUAUUUUUUUUCAUAAUGUAUUAACGUUAAUCCCCUUUCUUCAUAGAUUAGUAUGUAUUUUAUGACUAGAAUUAAUAUAUACUUAUUUUUUUUCGCUUUUCCGGUGAAGCUAAAUUUUUUUUUUUUUAUCUUUUAUCUCUUGAAAAAAGACAUGGCUUUAAUGUAAUAUAUAGUAUUUUGUGUAUAGAUUUACGGUGAUAUAACUAACGGUUCUGCCGUGAGUGGAAACUGGCGGUAACCUGCAGCCACGUGGCUUCAUCUGUUGCUCACCGUUCUCACACUUUACUCCACGUGGUCUCUUGCUGUUUAUUCUGCUACUGAUUUUUUCUAUUUCGGUGAUGACAUUCGCGAUUCUGAAGAUCAGUUGUUCUCUUCGUGGUGCAGUUUUUGUGCUUCCGAAGUUCUGACAACUUUUUUACAUUGCUGUCUUAGAGGCAUUUGUCUGAGAAAUUUACAUUCAGUACAGUCCUAAUUGGGUUUUUUUUUUUAAUCCUACCCUGCUGUCCAUACCACUGCUAGAAUCUGCUUUUGUACAGGGUUUUUUUUUCCUUUUAGUUCUAUAUUUUAUAUAGUUUCGAAUAUAUGUGUUGCGGUUAAUUUUGGAUUUCGUUAAAGUGAGAAAUGUUGCUUGAUGGAUUCGUACAUUUUUUUGUACCCAAGCUGUCCGCGUGUGUCGAUCAGGCCAUAAUUUACUAGUGUAUUAAUUAGUAGCCAUUUAGUGUAUGCUCGUUUUUAAUGGUAGCUCUUUCAUUUGUCUCCAGUUAAAUUAAGGGAUGUUUUGCUACUUAGUUUUAAUUUUUACAGAAGUCAUAUUAGUCCGGUAUGAGGAUAUUAAAUUUCGUCGUUCCUCCUGGGUGGGUGAUCUGUGUAACUGCCGUCUGCUAAGUUUGACCUCAACCCUACUGUGACGGUCAACAUGUUACCCUUGCUAAAUACUAUAUCGCUGUACAGUUGUAGUUCUAUAGAAAUGUCCUGAGAGUGAUGACCUUGUGGAUCGACUGAUUAUCUUGACGAUUUCCCUUCGCCCCUAUCUGACUCGGGACAUUUUAGUAAAUGUUUUUUUUGUCUUCUGUGACUGGUGGUAGCGGUACAACUGAAAUACCAGAAGAUGGUGUUUUAGUAGAUUAAAUACGUUGUCUGAUUGCUUUCUUUUCGCUCCUGUAUAUUUGAUGUGUCACUUGUUUUAUUUUUCACGCUAGCAUAAACAUGUAAUUUGCUGUGAUUGAUAUAGAUUUGAGUGCCAUCGUGGCGUGGAAAAAAAAUUACGGUUAAUAUCUAGAUCCGCACCCGGUGGGAAAAUUGGAAACGAAAAUGUGUAACAGUUGUAAGGCAUCGUAUAUUGACGGGAAAAAAGCGCGCUGACAAACGGGGGGUGGGGGGCUCGGGAAAUUCCCAGGAUCAACCGUAGAGGAUCCACGCCCAGGUGGCAAAAAUGGAAAAAAAUAUGUGUAACAGGUGUAAGGCAUCGUAUAUUACUGUAUGUUAUAUAUCAGCUUUGCAUGUUAUUUAGAUCACUUUCGUUUGUCUCAAAAGAUUUUUAUCCCUGACUUUUAAUGAGAAUAACCCAACAGGGGGAAAGCACAAUGUGUGCCUUUGUUCAUAGACCAACUCGGGUCCAGGGGACUUACUGUAUAACGUAUGGAAAGUGUCGUAUGGGGCUGGGGUGACUGAUAAUUGUGGAGGGCGUUGAUCCAUUUAUACUGCUAAUAGACGGUCAACAAUUGUAAAGGUGUUUUAUGGACAUACUGUUAUAGUGUCAGCAUUACGAAUUAGCUUCUGAUAUCAUGAUGAACACUAGGUCGGAGUACUGUGCUAUUUUCAGCAGUGAUGACAGCCCUACUCGUUCACUUCUUCUGAAUAUCAGAAACUAAUUCUGUGAGCUCCAUAACCCUUCAGUAUUCGGUCAAAUGUAAUAUUUAUAAGCAUUGUUUUGAGUCACGUUUUAUCCCGUAGCUUUGGGAUUUAUUUUUAGAAUGAUAUUGUUGGAUAGGUGCGAGAAACCAAAGAUGAUCGGUUUGAAUGUUAGUGUUACUCUUAGGUUCCUUUUGCGAAUUGGUUUUUUAAACCUGCCUUGUAUAAAGUUUAAUAAAAUAUGUUUAUAAAAGAUAAAUAUUUCCAUGUCCCCCUUCUCCUGUUCUAAAAUAUCUGACUGGUGUGACCCAAAAAUUUGUUUAUAGCUUCUGUUGGAUUUCGUGUUGCUCUUCUAAGGGCGUAUAGAAUAGGUAUGUAUUGUUUCGUUUGUGUGCAUCAUGUACUAAAAGUUCUGGCUGCUGUUCUCCAGUGUUUUGCAAAAUCAGGCUCAUACUACGAAUAAAAUUUCUGCAACUUUUGUAGUAGGGUGUGGUGGGGGGCAAAGAAUAGGCAGCCAUUUAAAAGAACUUCAUUUUUAAUUACUAUGGUUUGGUUUUGAGAUAGAGGGGUAUCAAAGCGUUUAAUUGAAUAUACUUGUUGGACGGCUCAAUAUUUUACACUUGCAGGUAGAAGCAUGACUCUAGGUUGCUUCAGCCUUAUUCAACCAUGGUAAAGUAGAAAAGAUUUCUCAUUGAAUGAGAUGAGAUUUGGCAAAAACUGUCCUGAGGAUGAUGAUCUUGUGGAUCGACUGAUACCUUGACGAUUUCCCUUCGCCCCUAUCUGACUCGGGACAGUUUAUGAUUGCUGCAAUGAGUGAGAUAAGAAUAAUGCCAUGUAUUUGGAGUGAUAUCUGCUGCUGGUGUUGCGAAACUAUCACGGUAAAGAGCACCUUUCGAGCACUGGGCCUCACAGAAGCAGUCAGGAAGGGCACCUAACUGUAGAAUUAGGCUGGAGUCUGGCACUGCCCCUCAGCUUGCCAGCAUGGACGUUAAAUGAUGAUAGAUAAUGUGGUAAUUUUGAAAUAUGCAGAGGUUGUUUCAAUGGAUUGAAGAAUUUCCCUGGUGAAAUUCUUUUUGCCCUUGUCUCACUUAAGACAUUUCGUUGAUGUUUUCACUUACAUAUACUGUUUGGGGAGAGUGCCUUAUAGUUAACACGCUCACUGGUAAAAUUUCCACUUAUUUCGUUUCUUUUUCUGAAAAUUUUUGUUGCGUCUUGCAACCUUUUCAAUAGUUUUGACAGUCAAAACUAUUGAAAAGGUUGCAAGAAGCAACGAAAGUUUUAGAAUGAUAAAGGAAAUAGGGGGAAAUUUUACUGGUGUGUGUUAAAUUAUAAAGCACUAAAAUAGAAUGACUCUCCCCAGACACAACAGAAUGUACUUCAACACACAAACUCACAUAAAGAAUCUUGCUAACCAAAUCCAAAAGCAAAAUUCACUUACAUAGUUUUCCUUUUAGUAUUCACAAUCUGGUUGUUGCAAUAAACCUCUCUCUCUCUUGUUUUUGUCCUGAGAAUGAUGAUCUUGUGGAUCGACUGAUGUCUUGACGAAUUCCCUUCGCCCCUAUCUGACUCAGGACUGUUUAUGAAUAUUAUAAGUGGGAUAAGAUAAUUUAAAUUUUGAUACAAGGUUCCUUCCACCCCAAUAAUGUGAAAGAUUCUAAGGCUGGUUGUCAUGUGGAUUGACUUGUUUUGCAUAUUCUUCUUUACCUCUGUCUAGCUUAGAACAUUUAUAUUGUAGGUUCAAAGGUGGUUGGGAAAUGGUUUCAUUUUUUCACAGUGGACAAUGUGUGAAAAUAUAGAAAGGUGAUGUUGAAAAGAUCUUGGCUUUAAGGGUAAAGCUGGGAGGUAGGUCAGAAGAUAUACAGAAUAUGAUGUGGUAUACAAUAUAUCUUUCUCUUUUUUGCAGAUUUAAUGCAUGAUGGCAGCUCCUAGUGUAUUUUGGGAGAAUUGAAGUACAAGUAGUAAUGAAAUUACUCUUUCUGCAAGGCAAACAACCAGCAGAAAUCCAUGGCCAUAUGAAGAACGUCUUGAAAUAUGGCUGUCCAUCUUACUCCACAAUAAAAAUCAGGCUAACUGAUGAUCAUUUUGGCAGGACAGCCAACUUCUGCAACUACAGAGGACUCUGUGCAUGUCAUGAUUCUCGAGGACUACAGGGUUUCAGCUGAGACUCCGAGGAUUUCCCGCGAAAGAGUUAAUCACUUCAUCCACAACAUUCUGGGCAUAGGAAAGCUUUCUGCAAGGUGGGUGCCUGAAUGCAGAUCUCAAGUACAUCAGGAUGACAGCAUCAGAGGUGAUUUUGGACCAGUCUGCAGCAGGAGAGGUUGAUUUUAUGGCUUGUUUAGUCACCUUGGAUGAAACUAGGCUUCAUCCCCGGACCAAGCAGCAAUCAAUGGAGUGGAGUCACGGUUGUUCACCACAUCCCAAGAAGUUUUGAACCUGGAAAAUGACUAGAAAGGUUCUGGCUUCAGUGUUCUGGGAGUACCCCUUUUAUAAUACCUGCCAAAGGGUGCACCAUCAAUGCAGAAUACUACAUGUCUCUGUUGGAUGAAGCUUUGAUGCCAUGGAAAGCUGACCCAUAAUGCCCUGCUUUUGUAGGGUAGUUGUAUCAACACAUGAAACCCUACAGAAACUACACAGCGGCUUUGAAUUGGUAGACCUCCGACCGUACUCUUCUGAUUAUCACCUCUUUUCACAACUGAAGAAACGCCUCCACAAUGAAAUUUCACUCUGAGGGGUGAUUGUUGCUACAACCUCCCAAGUUCUUUUUUCAGGGUUUAGAAAAGCUGAGGGACUGCUGUGAUAGGUGUGUGAAUCUGAGAGAUGAAUACGUUGAAUAAAAUCACUAGCAGCUAAGCCUGGUCUGUUUGGAUGAUGUGGCUAUGAUAGAUUAACUAAUUCUCCUGUAUUUUCUUUUAUCUAGAGCCAGGGAAUUUUAAGUAUCCCUUUGUAUAUAAUGUUACCAUUACCAAUAGUUUCUGAUAUCAUGAUGAACACAGGUCGGAACACUGUGCUAUUUUCAGCAGUGAUGACAGCUCUAUUCAUUCACUUCUGAAUAUCAGAAACUAAUUGUGUGAUGUCUUGUUCUUUGAUUCCCCUUCACUUAUUCAUUUCUUAAAUCAAUGCUUUGUAAUCAUGAAUUUCAAUAAAAUGCUUUUAUUAAAAA
rnacentral:lncRNA from 1 species